rnacentral:lncRNA from 1 species
UUUGGAGUUACGGUCGCCAUACCUCCAAUAGAUGGUGUCUCGUCGUUUUUCAUGUUAUGGCUGAUUGGGCUGUUUGUCAAAAUGUUUCUUAAUUUUUUCUACGAAAUCUACCGACUAAUUCAUCGCAAGGAACGGGAAAGGAAAGAGUAGCAUACAAGUAGCCUACCAAUCGCUACCACCAACUCUUUUAUUAAAAAUCGUCGUUCUGCUGAAUUCAUUAUCCAGUUCAUGCAGUUUCUAUUGAUCUUGGUAGGUCACUACUCGUCACUACCCCAGUGUGGGCAUGUUUGUUUUUCUGAACAUUCUUUUAAAUAAUGCAUUGGCAUACAAGGAAGCUACGAAAAAUAUAUCAUCUAGGCCAAGGGUAAUCUACAGGUUUAUUGCAGCAGCUUAAGAGAAGAAUGUGAACAAAUGCAGGGCACAUACCAACAUGUGUUGUAUUUUUCUGAAUGUUGAACACAGGCAGUAGAUUCAACAUGACUAACUGUUUGAUGCCAAAGUUAGUUGCCUAGUGGAACUCAACUCACUGUACGUUCUCUAACACAGAUAACUGGUGCUGUUGCCUUACAGCCAAAGGCAGGAAAAUGAUUCUUUUUUUCAGAAAAUUGGAAAGCUGCUGGAGUAAUCUGGUGUUGAUGCACAUUUGAUUCAUUUCGUGCCAGCCAGUGAAAGCCGAAAGACACGUCCAAUUCAAGCUGAGCUGCUGCGUUCUGUCUGGAAGCAAGCAAUCCAGCCGUUGCGCCGUUGAGUCAUUUGAACAGGAAUCUAAUGGCUGUCAAUAGGUGUCUGUCAAAAGUUGGCUGGAAUGUCCACCAGGUAGCGCCAGUGUCUUCAGGGACGCAUUUUGGCCAUUUUGUUCCAAGACACAGCAGAAAUGGUUGCUGGUUGUGACGUUUCUCACGAUGAAAAUUAAAAGGUUAUUUAUCACGUAGAAACCAAUUUGCCAAAUCAUUCAACUCAAACUUGGAAUUGCCUGUACAUUGCCGAAAUUGCGUGCCUCGUGUCUCGCUGCCUGCUCUUAGGCGUA